CGAGGUGUAGCGCAGCUGGUAGCGCGCUUGCUUUGGGAGCAAGAUGUCGGGGGUUCGAGUCCCUUCACCUCGACCA
rnacentral:tRNA from 2 species